CGGACGGGUGAGUAAUGUCUGGGAAACUGCCUGAUGGAGGGGGAUAACUACUGGAAACGGUAGCUAAUACCGCAUAAUGUCGCAAGACCAAAGAGGGGGACCUUCGGGCCUCUUGCCAUCGGAUGUGCCCAGAUGGGAUUAGCUAGUAGGUGGGGUAACGGCUCACCUAGGCGACGAUCCCUAGCUGGUCUGAGAGGAUGGCCAGCCACACUGGAACUGAGACACGGUCCAG
rnacentral:rRNA from 1 species